rnacentral:rRNA from 1 species
UACAGAGGUCCCGAGCGUUGUUCGGAUUCACUGGGCGUAAAGGGUGCGUAGGCGGUCGGGUAAGUCUGAUGUGAAAUCCCGCAGCUCAACUGCGGAAGUGCAUUGGAUACUGCCCGGCUAGAGGGUGGGAGAGGAGACUGGAAUUCCCGGUGUAGCGGUGAAAUGCGUAGAUAUCGGGAGGAACGCCGGUGGCGAAGGCGAGUCUCUGGAACACACCUGACGCUGAGGCACGAAAGCUAGGGGAGCAAACAGG